GCCUGGCUGGCUUAGCCGGUAGAGCAUGUGACUCUUAAUCUCGGGGUCAUGAGUUCAAGCCCCACAUUGGGCA
rfam:Felis catus isolate Cinnamon breed Abyssinian chromosome C1, whole genome shotgun sequence.